rnacentral:ncRNA from 2 species
CGACAGCGCUCUGGAGAGCAAGCAUUCACUUGCACCGAUGGAGUAACUUGCAGCGCAAGGAAUCUCUCAGGUCAAUGGACAGAGAUCAGGCA